rnacentral:lncRNA from 1 species
CUCAGGUUUUCCCCAGAUGUGCUUUUUCCUCAAAUAUGAGUUUUUGCCACUGGGGUUUUUUGCCUGGCCCCAGAUCAUCGGGUGGACUGGUAAUCCUAGACCCCGGUCCUUGGACGGGGUAUAGGUAUUAUUCCCACUUUGACUAUAUGCGCCCACUUCCGUGGACAAAAGAGGAAAAUAACUGUUGGGAAUAAUACACUUUGCCCAUAUUUACCCAGGGCUUACGAUACAGAUGACAGGCUGGUUAGUCUGUUUAAAAUUGGUUAAC